UACGGAGGGUGCAAGCGUUAAUCGGAAUUACUGGGCGUAAAGCGCACGCAGGUGGCUGAGUCAGUCGAUUGUGAAAGCCCUGGGCUUAACCUGGGAAUUGCAGUCGAUACUACUCAGCUAGAGUAUGGGAGAGGGUAGUGGAAUUCCCGGUGGUAGCGGUGAAAUGCGUAGAUAGUCGGGAGGAACAUCAGUGGCGAAGGCGGCUACCUGGCCCAAUACUGACACUCAGGUGCGACAGCGUGGGGAGCAAACAGGG
rnacentral:rRNA from 1 species